rnacentral:rRNA from 1 species
UCAGGACGAACGCUGGCGGCGUGCUAAUACAUGCAAGUCGAACGAACUCUGGUAUUGAUUGGUGCUUGCAUCAUGAUUUACAUUUGAGUGAGUGGCGAACUGGUGAGUAACACGUGGGAAACCUGCCCAGAAGCGGGGGAUAACACCUGGAAACAGAUGCUAAUACCGCAUAACAACUUGGACCGCAUGGUCCGAGUUUGAAAGAUGGCUUCGGCUAUCACUUUUGGAUGGUCCCGCGGCGUAUUAGCUAGAUGGUGAGGUAACGGCUCACCAUGGCAAUGAUACGUAGCCGACCUGAGAGGGUAAUCGGCCACAUUGGGACUGAGACACGGCCCAAACUCCUACGGGAGGCAGCAGUAGGGAAUCUUCCACAAUGGACGAAAGUCUGAUGGAGCAACGCCGCGUGAGUGAAGAAGGGUUUCGGCUCGUAAAACUCUGUUGUUAAAGAAGAACAUAUCUGAGAGUAACUGUUCAGGUAUUGACGGUAUUUAACCAGAAAGCCACGGCUAACUACGUGCCAGCAGCCGCGGUAAUACGUAGGUGGCAAGCGUUGUCCGGAUUUAUUGGGCGUAAAGCGAGCGCAGGCGGUUUUUUAAGUCUGAUGUGAAAGCCUUCGGCUCAACCGAAGAAGUGCAUCGGAAACUGGGAAACUUGAGUGCAGAAGAGGACAGUGGAACUCCAUGUGUAGCGGUGAAAUGCGUAGAUAUAUGGAAGAACACCAGUGGCGAAGGCGGCUGUCUGGUCUGUAACUGACGCUGAGGCUCGAAAGUAUGGGUAGCAAACAGGAUUAGAUACCCUGGUAGUCCAUACCGUAAACGAUGAAUGCUAAGUGUUGGAGGGUUUCCGCCCUUCAGUGCUGCAGCUAACGCAUUAAGCAUCCGC